rnacentral:rRNA from 1 species
UACAGAGGUCUCAACCGUUGUUCGGAUUCAUUGGGCGUAAAGGGUGCGUAGGCGGUCGGGUAAGUCGGAUGUGAAAUCUCAGGGCUCAACCCUGAAACUGCAUUCGAUACUGCCUGGCUAGGGUACUGGAGAGGAGACUGGAAUUUACGGUGUAGCAGUGAAAUGCGUAGAUAUCGUAAGGAAGGCCAGUGGCGAAGGCGAGUUCCUGGACAGUUACUGACGCUGAGGCACGAAGGCCAGGGGAGCAAACGGG